rnacentral:rRNA from 1 species
GACGGAGAAGGCUAGGCCGGCAGGGCGAUGGUUGUCCCUGUUUAAGCGUGUAGGUAGGGGGAUUAGGUAAAUCCGGUCCCUCGUUAAUCUGAGACGUGAUGACGAGUUCUCUUUUGAACGAAGUGGUCGAUGCCCGGCUUCCAGGAAAAACUUCUAAGCAUCAGGUAAGAGUUGACCGUACUGUAAACCGACACAGGUGAUCAGGUAGAGAAUACCAAGGCGCUUGAGAGAACUUGGGUGAAGGAACUAGGCAAAAUGGUACCGUAACUUCGGGAGAAGGUACGCCGGCUUUGGUGA